UACGUAGGGGCGAGCGUUGUCCGGAGUUACUGGCGUAAAGGGCGUGCAGGCGGUGCGGUAAGUUUAGCGUGACAGUCUCCGGCUUAACUGGAGAAGGCCGCUGAAAACUGCUGGACUUGAGGGCCAGAGAGGACAUAGAAUUCCGGGUGGAGUGGUGAAAUGCGUAGAUAUCCGGAGGAAUACCAAAGGCGAAGGCAGUGUCCUGGCUGGCAACUGACGCUGAGGCGCGAAAGCUAGGGGAGCGAACAGG
rnacentral:rRNA from 1 species